CUAGCCUGUCAGAGCCCGAGACGGGCUCUAGCUCGGAAUUCCUGGUCAGUAGCUUAGGUCAGGCGAGUGAGCCAGAAAGGUGGUCUGUGACCUUCUCCAGGGAACUUCUGUUAUUACCUCACUUACAACAUGAGGGGGAGAGAAGGCAAGAAGCAAAGAUUUCUCUUGCUGCUCCCAGCGUCUAGUUCUCACAGGGAGAUGGCCCACUGCUGAUCACUUACGAGGUGGGUGGAAUGCGGGGGCAGAGUCCAGCACAGCUAUAGCCACUGGAGCAGAAACUUGAUUUCUUAAACUGGAGGUUCCUGGGCUAUAAAUGAGAUGCGGCCUCUGCCUCCCUCAGGUAUUGUGGCGAUUAAGCUAAUGGACAGAAAAGAAAGUGCUUUGUAAAGGUCCCGCCCAGAGGCCCGCUCUAGGACCAACUGAGAGUCUUCCUAUCUGAGUGGCUCCUCAGGACUGAGCUAAAUCUAUCUUCCUGUUCUUCCUGGUCAUGCACGAUGGGGCACUUUGCUCCAUGUGAUGGGAGACUAGGCCCCCCGCUCUAGUUUAGAUGUAGCCCCGCCCCCAAAGCGGAAGUGAGGAAGUUUUCCAGCCCCCAAAGCGGAAGUGAGGAAGUUUUGGGCUGGUAUUCUAACCUUCGGUGUGGCUGUGUGGAGGAGAGCCCUCAGGAGCCCCAGCUGAAUGGAAGGUGCUGAGGACCAGGCAACCUCUCUCCAGCAAGGCCAGUCUUGGAGGAGUGGGAUGGUCUUUCUAGAGCUGGUGGCAAGAAAGGGAGGUCACCCACAUGCUAGGCCACUUCUUCAGGCCACUGGCUCCCUUUCCGUUUCUCCACCAGGGCCUGCCCCUGGACAGGACCUACUGGUGUGAGGCUGCUCGGAUUGUCCAGAACUGUGGGGCGUAGCAAAGGGAGGCAUGGACAGACGACUUCGGUGUGGUACCCUGGUUAUACUGCUUCCAACCUGCGCUGAAAGAAGAUAUGAAAUGACACUGCCCACUGCUUCCUUGGGAUGAUUUCUUUCAGUGGUCAGAGAGCGCAUCCUUCGGCUCCCAUCCCUAAGCUCAUAAACCUGUGUGGAAGCUGCCAGGACCCCAGAGAACUGUGCUUGGUAGCACUUAGCCCAGAGGAGCAACACAAAAAUACCCCCCCCUGUCACUAUCACAAGAGCUCUAAGCUUCUGAGGCCGUGUUCUCAAGGCUAAAGAUUAACCAGUUAAUUAUGAAGCAACCAUCAGUGUAAGGGUGAACCAGCCUAUCACCCGGUAAUGCUGUAUGUACUGAAAGGGUGUCUAGCUCCCUUGAUUAACUCGUUAAUCAAGCCUCACUUGUUGUAUCUGAGAUACAUUACACCAGACAAACGAGAAAGCCUUGUGCUCACUUCCCUUUUUAGUGCAUUCAUUCCUUGAUGGGCCCCUCAUGCCUUCCUGGUCACUUGCCUAUGCUUUAGGAGCAAAGACCAGGCACUUUUAACUUGUAUUAAAAAUAGCAACUGAGCUGAAUAUAACCAAGCCAGGUGUGGCACAUCCUGGCACUUGAGAAGCUGAGACAAAGGGUUUGAGAAUGCUCUGGACUACAUGGCGAGUUCAAGGCUGGCCUGAACUGUGUAAAAACACCCAUCUCAAACCAAAACAGACAAAGGAGGAAAUACAGCUACACUCACAAUUUCUAAUAGUACAACACCUGCUAGAAAUAGCAACAGCUACCACUUUCAAAGAGCUUACGGGGUGCCCGGCACCACGCAGGGGCACAUUCUCAUUUUCCAGCCAGGCAGUUAUUCGUGCACAAGGCACUCAUAGCCAUGGUUAUGUGUCAGCUCUCAGCAGUGAGAGAUGCCACAGCCUGGAAUGGUGGGGAUGCAGUGUCCAGAUGAACUCAUCCAUCAGAACACAGAGAAUCAAAAGCAGCACUCACGGCGAGACACGGCAACGAGCCCACCUUUCCCAGGUCCUGGCUCAGUGCAAAAUAGCCCCUGAUCUCUAAGCCACCAUUACUCCCAAGCUCAUUUCCCUCUACCCUGGGUAAUCCCCUCUCCCCGCCCAUUCCCUGCUUAUCAAGAGAAAGGCAGAGCACCACAGUCUACCUGGGCCAGGAGCAGAGGACUGAAGCCUGGCCGCACAACCUGCCCAACAAGAAGGGGCACGUACCUCUUCUUCGUGACUUUCAAAUUGGUACAUCCAAAAGUUCUCCAUCCUUCCAGGUGCUAUUUGGGCAACGGGGCGAGCCCUUGGGCAUCCACUUGUGAGCUGAGGUGAACUCCUGCUCUCAGUGCCGCUUGGUGGACAGUCUUGGUGGUGUUAGGUGCCCUUGUCAAUAAUGCAACUGGUAACAAGAGCUGUGACCACCUCCAGAGUGUCUGCCCCUCCACUUUAACCCUUCAGGGCUGGGCGGCCAGGGCUGUCUCGAGUCAUUGGCGGAGCAUCAUCAGCUGAUAUUUCUGAGAGGAAUCUGGCCCAUCCUUCUCAGUGGCACCUACUAUUUCUGGGGGAAAUAAACUCAGCACAGAGGUGCCGCCACAGACUUUCACACACCCCAAACUCUGUUUAUAAAACCUGUGAAGAGGCAUCCAGCUUUGGAAGAGAAAGGGGAAGGAGGGAGGUGGCUGAAGAUGUUCUCUCGGGCCUUCAUUGGAAGGCACCUGGGUGUGUGGGGAGAGCUCAGGGAGCUCUGAUCAGUUGUUGGCUGGUAGCAGGGGCUGCUGAAAUAUGCCCUCCUCACCAACACCAACUACACAACAUCACUGUGCUCUAACAACCUUCCUGUGUGCCGCGAGCAAGACAGGCUCUGACCAACCAGAGAAGAGCUACCUCAUGGUCAGCAUGGUUUAGACCAAACAAUAUAUGAUUCCAGAUCAAUCUCAAAAACAACCACAUCUGCCAACAAUAGUAAGGAAUGACCCGGCAUAGCUGGGCAGAGCUGAGCUGGAGAAAACACAGGGAGGCUGUGGUAUGGAUUGCAGAAAUGGGAGGCCUCCCGAGUUCCUAUGCUAUACUGAUUCAUGGAGCCAGGGUGGCAGGGAGGGACCUGGGUGCACUAAGUCCCUUACCCUCACAGGAGCAUCAGCUUCCUACUCACCACGCCCUCUGUCAGACCUGCUAGCAGGGCUCCCUCUGAGGCUCAUGUUUAGUCAGUGACUGUGGACAGGGUUAAAUGGUAGAACAAAACACACAGGAUCUGAAGCCAUCCGAACUGGUGUUUCCUACGUGUGCUCAAACUCUGUGGCCAGCGGGAGGGAGGAUCACACAGAGACUGACCCUCUGGACUUGCCCAUCUUUCUAGUCAUUCUUUGAGUCUGAUGAGUCUUCCUGGCAAUCAGGGUGCACCCACCAUAGCCUCAGUCAGUGGCUAUAAUUCCUGCAGCCAUUAGCCAGCAUUAAGAAGGAAAGUCUUUUGCAGGAUGGUGCUCAGUGAGUCCCUAAAAGUGCUGAGUUAGAAUGUUUCUCCACAUGUUUGGUUUUCUCUCGUUGCUUCUUUUAAAGAGAAAAAUCUUUGGGUGUUGAAUAUGAAGUGCCCAGACUCAUACUCGAUGGCAGUUAACUCUCUCUGGCUUUUUGUGAAGCCAUUUUCCCUCGAUCGCUCUAGAGGACACUUUGGUUUUGAUUUUGAAGCUGUCAGAACAAAGCUAUGGAAGCCACUGCUGCCAGGGAAAGCUUGUCACCUUUUCAGGUAGUAGCCAGAGAUGAUCAACUCACAUAUGAAUUAAGUUAUCAGACAACUGAAGACUCAAAAUCAAAACCCCAGCCUUCUGUGAUGUAGGGACCAAUCUUUUGGCACGACGGAACUUGAACCUCUUCCCCUGUGUUUUGUUUUCAUUCUCUCUUCCCUUUAAUGUUCAUUCUGUACCUGAGACCUACUUAAUUAUUCAUCACCACCUUCUCCAGGCUACAUCAAUUAUGGAUCACAUCUGCGAUGGAAAACUUCGCUAGUAGCAAGAUGGUGCUGAGACGGGAGCAUAAGGAAUAGGACCCACACACCAUACUGGAGGGCGAGAGCACAGUGCUGGGGGCAACAGCCGUCCUCAGGGCCGGCUUGCCCUGGAGGCCUCCCACCCUGCAGGCCUCUUCCAACCCCAGCAAUUUCCCUGAAUUCCAUGCUUCCCAACCAGCCCUGCUUCUUGACCCAGAGAGAAACAAUAUUCAUAUGAUACACUGGGUCAAUUAGAGACCCAAGUGGGGCUGAGCCUAGUGGAUGAAGACUGCAGCCUAGUGGAACAGGUAUUUCUGUUCCCACAGUCAAGGGAGACUCCAGCACACAGACUGAAUGCCUAGCUGGAACUCACAAGUCUUUACAGCAUGUCCUGUGGACACCGACAGCCCCUUAAGAUUGAAAAGAAACCCAGCCUAAAAGCAUGCCACGGAUAUGCUUAUCCUUCUGCACAAACUCUCCAUUUUCAAAUUUCUACAGUGCCCCUUCAUCCUGCAUUCUCGUGUGUAACCACUGCUCCAUCCACCUCUGUACUGACUCUCACACACUCUGGCGUCAUUCUCCCCCAGUCACAUUGGAACCUGUAGGUUCUCUUUCUCACAGCCACAAGGUGGAACAACAACCUAGGAACCGGAAAUGACUGAUGAGGUCAUAAGCAGAAGACACCCUUCAGUUUUAAGGCCAGCUGCUCUUUCUUUGCUGACAGAAUGACUGACACCAAAUACGGGACUUUUCGGAUGCCUCCAAAGGUUUACCUCCUGAAAGUCAAACCCCUGUUGAAUCCUCUCCUGGGAAGGUCGUGUGGGUCAGGUAUCAGCCUCAACAAUGCAAGAAAAUGACAGUGGUGCAAUGCCACUCACUGAUUGGGUUACCAAGGACUGUGGCUUCCAUCUUGCCACCAGAUUCUGGAGCCUUCUUGUCUUGCAUACUUUAAGGGCGAAAUGGGACCUAUGGGGCAAUGAACUGAGAAUGCCCCAGCCAAGAUCAACGGGAAACCGAGGCUGUCUGCCAGUUGGCUUUGAAGAGCUGAAACCUACCCACAGCAUGGGAGCUUGGGAGCAGAGCUUUUCCCAGGAACACUUUACAAUGGUAACAGCCCCCUGAUGCCCACUUGCAGACCCUCAGAGGCUCACGGUGUGAGGCAGACAUGCAGGCUGCUUUCAGUGUUGGGUGGCAGUAGUCUAAGACAUCAAAUAAGGAUUCAGAUGAAAGCCUUAAGAGCAGAACAGGCUGAGAGGUCUGGCUGUGGACUUGAUAAGGGACUGGCCUCAAGUGGAACGCUACGCAGACAGAGCUCUGGCUAUCAUAUAAUAUCCUGGGGUCUCAUACAAUACACGUGCAGAACACACUACAAAAUAUCAGUUUAAUUUGAAAAUGGACUUGUAACUUGUGAAUAGGGAUCACAGUCCUAAUUCUCUCCUAGCCAGCAGAAAAGCAAUCAACAGGAAAGACUCAGGACUCAACUGCUAGUCAGCCUCUUAAGUCAGGGAAUGGGCAAAGACCUAGGACCCCACUGCCAGGUUGUGUUCCGAGGUCAAGGAGGAGGACAAGACCCAGUGCCCACUGCUGGUCAGUCCCCACCCCAAUUAGUCCUGUGAGGUAAGCCAACUACCAAGACUCUUACCCCACUGAAGAGACUGCUUAGUGAUUAAGAUCAGAUCACUGACUUUCUUCCAAAAGACCCAGGUUCAAUUCUGUAGUGAACACUUAGAACAGAAAACAAGAAAACAAAAUGGAGUGGUUCACAAAAUAGAGCCACUCUUGCUCGAUGUCCUGACAUCAGACAUGCUGAAAGCAGAAGCAAGCACCUGGGCAUCAACACCAAUGCCUUGGAAUCAGGCAGCCCUUGCUAAUCAGGAGCAGGGACCAAAAGUCUGCAAGGACUAGAUAAGGCUCAGAAGGAGCAUAAAAAGCCAGGCUCCAGGUGGCUCAGCACAACUGCCUAAACGUGAAUAAACAAGGACAACCAUAGACAUGCUACUGUAGCUGGGGGAAAGCUACAAAAGGCUUCAACCCUACAUAAAGAACUACUGACAACUAAGCAAGGAUGAGCGAGAGAAACAGUCUUCCCCAACAAUGAGCAGACCAAUCAGCCCUGAAAUCAUAAAUAUAAGAAGCAUUAUACAGACUGAGCAAAUUGUGCUUUUGUAUUUAGGAGUGCGCGCGCGCGUGUGUGUGUGUGUGUGUGUGUGUGUGUGUGUGUGUGUGAGAGAGAGAGAGAGAGAGAGAGAGAGAGAGAGAGAGAGAGAAA